UUUUAAUUCAAGUCACAAAUAGGACAAGUAGGUCUGAGCAGUUCCCCCUCCCUUCUAUGCCAAGGGAACAGAGUGAAACGCUAGGAGAGAAGUCUCUGUAGCACCCCAAAUGCCUGGAAGUUCCUAUUCCCUGGAAAGAGCUGGAUAACCUGGAGUUUGGCACUUGUGACUCACCCAUGAGAUGAUGGAGAGGGAGGUAUUUCACAUGGUAUGCAUAGAAACCACCCUUCUAGGCCAGCUGAAAAGGAACAGAGAUCAUAGCCUAAAACCAUACUGCUGUAAGUGGGUACUUUACACCACCCACUGUGAGAGCAGCCUAGAAAGUCUUACUGGCAGAAACAGUGAAAUUUCUCUGAAGACUAGACGUCCACAAGGAAGCCACGUAAGUCAAACUAAACAAACAAGAGUAAAACUGGAUACUGAAUGAGAUGGCUCUGUCUUCUAUAUAUGUCACAUUUUAAAACAGCCAUAUUUUGGACAUUCUUUAGAGAGCUCAAAAUAUGUUUUAUAGGCUUUUGUUCUCUGUGCUUCUUUUGUGAACUCCUGUACCAGUGAAAUAUGUGAACAGUCUUCAGAAAUAGAAAAACGUGUACAGCUGACAUAAAUGUCUCGUCCUUUCCAGAUUGCACACUGGUCAUUAGAAUCUCUGUUGUGCUUUAGAACUAUUGAGAUCACAAGAGAGAUCAUGGAUAGGCUCAGAGUAAAUGGAUGAGAACCAGACCAGGAUACAACAAAUUCCUAGCACUAAAAGCAAUGGUCUGUUGGAUCUUAAACCUGUAAUAAACCAAGGGCCAACUAUUGCA
rnacentral:lncRNA from 1 species